rnacentral:rRNA from 1 species
GUAUAGGGGAGCCGCAGGGAAACCGAGUCUUAACUGGGCGUUAAGUUGCAGGGUAUAGACCCGAAACCCGGUGAUCUAGCCAUGGGCAGGUUGAAGGUUGGGUAACACUAACUGGAGGACCGAACCGACUAAUGUUGAAAAAUUAGCGGAUGACUUGUGGCUGGGGGUGAAAGGCCAAUCAAACCGGGAGAUAGCUGGUUCUCCCCGAAAGCUAUUUAGGUAGCGCCUCGUGAAUUCAUCUUCGGGGGUAGAGCACUGUUUCGGCU